GUCGAACGGGAAAUAUUUUAUUGAAACUUCGGUAGAUUUAAUUUAUUUCGAGUGGCGGACGGGUGAGUAACGCGUGGGUAACCUGCCUUAUACUGGGGGAUAACAGCCAGAAAUGGCUGCUAAUACCGCAUAAGCGCACAGGACCGCAUGGUCCGGUGUGAAAAACUCUGGUGGUAUAAGAUGGACCCGCGUUGGAUUAGCUAGUUGGCAGGGCAGCGGCCUACCAAGGCGACGAUCCAUAGCCGGCCUGAGAGGGUGAACGGCCACAUUGGGACUGAGACACGGCCCAGACUCCUACGGGAGGCAGCAGUGGGGAAUAUUGCACAAUGGGGGAAACCCUGAUGCAGCGACGCCGCGUGAAGGAAGAAGUAUCUCGGUAUGUAAACUUCUAUCAGCAGGGAAGAUAAUGACGGUACCUGACUAAGAAGCCCCGGCUAACUACGUGCCAGCAGCCGCGGUAAUACGUAGGGGGCAAGCGUUAUCCGGAUUUACUGGGUGUAAAGGGAGCGUAGACGGCGCAGCAAGUCUGAUGUGAAAGGCAGGGGCUUAACCCCUGGACUGCAUUGGAAACUGUUGAGCUUGAGUGCCGGAGGGGUAAGCGGAAUUCCUAGUGUAGCGGUGAAAUGCGUAGAUAUUAGGAGGACACCAGUGGCGAAGGCGGCUUACUGGA
rnacentral:rRNA from 1 species